rnacentral:rRNA from 1 species
AGUGAACGCUGGCGGCGUGCCUAAUACAUGCAAGUCGAACGGAGUGGCGCACGGGUGUGUAAUGUAUAGCUAAUCUGCCCUACACUAGAGGACAACAGUUGGGAACGACUGCUAAUACUCUAUAGUUUAGUGUGAGGCUAUAUUGUAUCAUCUAGGUGGUGAGGUAAUGGCUCACCAAGGCUAUGACGCAUAACUGGUCUGAGAGGAUGAUAAGUAAACCUGGAACUGAGACACGGUCCAGACGCCUACGGUAGUGAGCAGUAGGGAAGAGUGCUCAAUGGGGGCAACUCUGAAGCAGCAACGCCGCGUGGAGGAUGACACUUUUCGGAGCGUAAACACCUUUUUUUAGGGAAGCGGUACCUAACGAAUAAGCACCGGCUAACUCCGUGCCAGCAGCCGCGGUAAUUC